UGGCAUUUGGAAGCCCGUUGGUUGCAGAAAACUUCAGGAAAUGGGCAUGAGUAUACAACGACUCUAGGAACACCUAGACAAAGGGCCUUGUGCAUGCAAAGUAAGGCACAAAGCACUGAGCUACAUUCCCAGCCUUCUGUGACCAUCUUCAAACAAUGCAGUGGAGGUCUAUUAGCCAUGUCCUGUGGACUCCAUGCUUGAGAGGGCCUCUCUCUGUCUUCAGACCAAGGACCCCAGCUUCACAUUCUCCUGCACGGUCAUGUUCAGAGCACUCGCACCUCUUUAAUUACAUAAAGAAAGUUCUCAGGGAGAGCAUGACAAGAAACAAGAACCCUGAAAUUGCGGGUAAAAUAUAAACAAAUGUUUUGGCUGAUGCAGUGCUCAGUUUUUAAUCACACAGCGUGUUUUCAGAGUGCACGGAGCCCUGCCUAGAAUGGCUCAAAUUAAAGAUCAAAGGCAGUGCCGUGACAAGACAGAGUGGUGCUCCAAGCCAACUUAACAUGCCUGCUUCCCGUCCCUGCAAACAGCCAUGUGGUCAUCCCUUUCCCUAAGAAGAGUUCAUCUGAAGCCCCCAUAAGACAGUGAGCAUUGAUUAAAGGUUGAUUUAUCUAUUUA